UACAGAGGGUGCAAGCGUUAAUCGGAAUUACUGGGCGUAAAGCGUGCGUAGACGGUUACAUAAGUCGGGUGUGAAAGCCCCGGCUCAACCUGGGAAUUGCAUUCGAGACUGCGUAGCUAGGGUGCGGAAGAGGGAAGCGGAAUUUCCGGUGUAGCGGUGAAAUGCGUAGAUAUCGGAAGGAACACCAGUGGCGAAAGCGGCUUCCUGGUCCAGCACCGACGUUCAGGCACGAAGCGUGGGGAGCGAAACACGGA
rnacentral:rRNA from 1 species